AGACCUGUAUCGGAAUCGAACCGAUAUCGACUGUACCACAAACAGUUGUUUUACCACUAAACUAACAGGUC
rnacentral:tRNA from 1 species